UCUACGGGAGGCAGCAGUGGGGAAUUUUGCGCAAUGCUCGUAAGAGUGACGCAGCGACGCCGCGUGAGUGACGGAGGCCUUCGGGUCGUAAAGUUCUUGCGACGGGGAAGCAAAUGCCUAUAAGUGACUGUGUAUGUGUUGACGGUACCUGUAUAAGCAGCGCCGGCUAUCUCGGUGCCAGCAGCCGCGGUACUACGGGGGUGGCGAGCGGUGUUCGGAGUGACUGGUCGUAAAGAGCGCGUAGGCGGUGUUGUAAGUCAUUAGUCAAAGACUAGAGCUCAACUCUAGUACGGCUAGUGAUAGUACAAUACUAGAGUAUUAGAGAGGAUUGCAGAAUUCCUGGUGUAGCGGUGAAAUGCGGAGAUAUCAGGAGGAACACUGUUAGCGAAGGCGGCUACCUGG
rnacentral:rRNA from 1 species